GACGAACGCUGGCGGCGUGCUUAACACAUGCAAGUCGAACGGAAAGGCCCUGCUUUUGUGGGGUGCUCGAGUGGCGAACGGGUGAGUAACACGUGAGUAACCUGCCCUUGACUUUGGGAUAACUUCAGGAAACUGGGGCUAAUACCGGAUAGGAGCUCCUGCUGCAUGGUGGGGGUUGGAAAGCUUCGGCGGUUGGGGAUGGACUCGCGGCUUAUCAGCUUGUUGGUGGGGUAGUGGCUUACCAAGGCUUUGACGGGUAGCCGGCCUGAGAGGGUGACCGGCCACAUUGGGACUGAGAUACGGCCCAGACUCCUACGGGAGGCAGCAGUGGGGAAUAUUGCACAAUGGGCGGAAGCCUGAUGCAGCAACGCCGCGUGCGGGAUGACGGCCUUCGGGUUGUAAACCGCUUUCGCCUGUGACGAAGCGUGAGUGACGGUAAUGGGUAAAGAAGCACCGGCUAACUACGUGCCAGCAGCCGCGGUGAUACGUAGGGUGCGAGCGUUGUCCGGAUUUAUUGGGCGUAAAGGGCUCGUAGGUGGUUGAUCGCGUCGGAAGUGUAAUCUUGGGGCUUAACCCUGAGCGUGCUUUCGAUACGGGUUGACUUGAGGAAGGUAGGGGAGAAUGGAAUUCCUGGUGGAGCGGUGGAAUGCGCAGAUAUCAGGAGGAACACCAGUGGCGAAGGCGGUUCUCUGGGCCUUUCCUGACGCUGAGGAGCGAAAGCGUGGGGAGCGAACAGGCUUAGAUACCCUGGUAGUCCACGCUGUAAACGGUGGGUACUAGGUGUGGGGUCCAUUCCACGGGUUCCGUGCCGUAGCUAACGCUUUAAGUACCCCGCCUGGGGAGUACGGCCGCAAGGCUAAAACUCAAAGGAAUUGACGGGGCCCCGCACAAGCGGCGGAGCAUGCGGAUUAAUUCGAUGCAACGCGUAGAACCUUACCUGGGUUUGACAUGGAUCGGGAGCGCUCAGAGAUGGGUGUGCCUCUUUUGGGGUCGGUUCACAGGUGGUGCAUGGCUGUCGUCAGCUCGUGUCGUGAGAUGUUGGGUUAAGUCCCGCAACGAGCGCAACCCUUGUUCACUGUUGCCAGCACGUUAUGGUGGGGACUCAGUGGAGACCGCCGGGGUCAACUCGGAGGAAGGUGGGGAUGACGUCAAGUCAUCAUGCCCCUUAUGUCCAGGGCUUCACGCAUGCUACAAUGGCUGGUACAGAGAGUGGCGAGCCUGUGAGGGUGAGCGAAUCUCGGAAAGCCGGUCUCAGUUCGGAUUGGGGUCUGCAACUCGACCUCAUGAAGUCGGAGUCGCUAGUAAUCGCAGAUCAGCAACGCUGCGGUGAAUACGUUCCCGGGGCU
rnacentral:rRNA from 1 species